CGGGCUGUAGUAUACCGGCAGUACACAUGCAUGGGGUGCAUGUAGACCGGGUUCAAUUCCCGGCAGCCCGACUA
rnacentral:tRNA from 1 species